AUUGAACGCUGGCGGCAGGCCUAACACAUGCAAGUCGCACGAGUGGCGGACGGGUGAGUAAUGUCUGUGAAACUGCCUGAUGGAGGGGGAUAACUACUGGAAACGUUAGCUAAUACCGCAUACCAUCGGAUGUGCCCAGAUGGGAUUUGCUAGUAGGUGGGGUAAAGGCUCACCUAGGCGACGAUCCCUAUCUGGUCUGAGAGGAUGACCAGCCAAACGGGAACUGAGAAACGGUCCAGACUCCUACGGUGGGCAGCAGUGGGGAAUAUUGCACAAUGGGGGAAAGCCUGAUGCAGCCAGGCGGCGUGUAUGAAGAAGGCCUUCGGGUUGUAAGGUACUUUCAGCGGGGAGGCGUUACCCGCAGAAGAAGCACCGGCUAACUCCGUGCCAGCAGCCGCGGUAAUAC
rnacentral:rRNA from 1 species